rnacentral:lncRNA from 1 species
UAUGAAAAUGAAUUUUAAAGUUCUCAAAAUUCCAAAGCACAGUCUAUACAAUCACAGAGUACAGAAGUGACUACAAAAGCUGGCAUUGCUAACAUCUGUAUAACAACCUGGGAGGCCACAGAAAGCCAAGGCUCUCUUAAGGAGAGUGAUACUUUCUUUUAGAAGGAUCACCAUCCUACGGUCUUAAAAUAAAAUGUAUGCUUAAUUCCAAAAUCAUGGGUGCUAGCACAAAAGCUUUCUCCCCUCUCCCUUUUUAAAAUAAAUAAAUAAAAGCAGUAAUGUUUAAAAGAAAUAAAAAACAGGCCAGGCAGUCAGGAUGGCAAAGGGCUAGCCCAAGCAGGCCAGCAAACAAGAAACCACAACAAAAAUAAACACAAACCUAAACAAGUGAAUGAAAUAUAUAUGGAAUGUAAUCUUGUUAAGAAAAUACAAGUGAUUCAUGUGCAAUCUUGUAUACUAGCUGUGAAUUACAUAAAACUUGAUUAUUUUGGGGGAUGUUAUUAUUUAGUGAGGCUUUAAGUGUAAUCUUAAUUUCUAAAUGACAUGGAAUUACUUACUCUGGGAUUAAGUUUUCUACUCAGCUAGGCGGACUAGUGGCCUCAUCACUAAUUUUAUACAUAAGUGGCAUAACGUAUCGGGUUUAAAAAAAUUAAGGAAAAUCCAUCAAGGCCCUAAGCGCAUUUCAUCUGUCUACAUCACAGGAGCCUGUGUUUGAGAUUGGUGGAAGAAUGGGGUGUUAUGAUCACAGUUCAUUGUAUACACGCAUGAAACUGUCAAAGAAUAAAAAUAGUCUUUAAAAGAAAAAAAAAUUAAAAGAAACUAUAGAAUUCAGUUUGCCUAUUCUCGAAGACUCUGAUGGGGGGCUUUGAGUCUGCAUGAACUUGGUGUUCUGUGCGAUGGAUGGGUCACUCCUGUGUCCAGUGCACCCCGCUCCAGCAGCGGCUUGUCUAGAAAAAGAACAGAUGAAAAAUUGAAGAAUGCUGGGAUUACGGCCUAAGCAACACGCGGGAAUCGAACCCUGGGCGAUCGAAGAUCCCAGACAAGCACUGUGCCAACUGAGCUACGUGCCCAGGUCCCCAGCGGACAGCUUCUCCUUCAGAACGUUUGGUCCUGGCUCAGCAUACGUACCGUCGGCGCCUGGGUUUAGCCGGACCCUCGCAGCCCGAGCCCCUGGAGGCAGCGCACGUCCGCUCGUCUCCGGAGGGCGGCGCACGCCGGGGAGGCUUGCCCCUCUCGGGGAGUCUCCUCAGCCGGGUCCCGACACCAGGCCGUGAAGCCGCCGUCCCGUCCCGGGAGCGACGCCAUCUUGUCGCCGCCGUCCUCCUCCGCGGCUCGCGCUCCCGGGCUCCAGGCUCCCCCUAACCCCGCCGCGCGACACACGCGGCGGAGGAGGAGCGCUGGCUGCCGG